UGCCAGCCGCCGCGGUAACACGGGGGGUGCAAGCGUUGUUCGGAUUUACUGGGCGUAAAGGGCGCGUAGGCGGACUUUCAAGUCAGGUGUGAAAUCUAUGGGCUUAACUCAUAGCUUGCAUUUGAUACUGUUGGUCUUGAGUACAGGAGAGGAAAGCGGAAUUCCAGGUGUAGCGGUGAAAUGCGUAGAUAUCUGGAAGAACACCAGUAGCGAAGGCGGCUUUCUGGACUGAUACUGACGCUAAAGCGCGAAGGCUUGGGUAGCAAACAGGAUUAGAUA
rnacentral:rRNA from 1 species